AUGUAUCAUAUGUCAGCCAUGCGCCUACUCUGGGCCAGGCUGUAUGGCCCUCCAUUAGUCGGGGUGUCUGGGCUUCUUUAUCUAGCUCCAUGGGCCAGGGAGACCCAUUCAGAAGCAGGAGUCAGAAGCACGUGGCCUCGGGGUCCAGCCAGGGCCCCUCUGCCAGGCCACUGUGCAGGGCUUCUGCUGAUGGACCCCUCCCCCAGGCCUGGCUCUGUCACUCCCUGGCUGGGCGCUUGUCUCCUGCCCAUUCUCUUUACAGUCGGUCACCUGUCCGUGCCCACAGAGGUGACUGGAGGAGCACCAGCCCACCUGGGUGGCUGGACCAAGCACGGCAGAGGCCACCCUGAGAGAUUUUAUUCUGCGCUUUGACUUUGCAGGCUCUCACCAUUGUCGUGUGUAGCAACCUUGUCAGAUGCUCUUAGAUGUUUUUCCAACACUUCCUGGGCUGCCCCGAGAGCCAAUCCUCUCGCCCAGUUAGGAUCCUGGCUCUUCCUCAAUUUUGCCACUUGGCUAUGAUCAAGUACCUCAUCUCGAGCCUCAGUUUUCGCUUCUGCAAAUGGAGGUUAUAUCCCUUGCCUGUUGGUGCAAGGCACGGAUGAGGCAGGGGAGGUGUGAGUGAUGGCCGUGGGAGACAGAGGCCACUCUAGGGGCUGCAGAAGUGGCAGCAUCACAGCCCCUGCGCUCCAGGAAACUUUCCCACUGCUGCAGCCUGCGUCAGUUGGGGACAUCUUGGCAGAGACUGGGAAGAAAGAGCCUGGGACCAGGUGUCAGCCCUGGUGCUGGGCUCUGGCAGCACUGGCUCCCCAGCUGGCUCUCAGCCUCCCCCUGAGAAGGCUGACUGCCGCUCUGAUCUCUGGGUCUGUGGCAGGUGGCAGGCAGUGAGGAGGUCUCAGCAGCUGCCCAGUGUCAAGGAGGGCCUUUCCAGGGUGCCCAGCAGCUGGGGUAUGUGUGCCGGGGGAACAGAGAAUUGGAAGGUCUCAGCCAGAAGCUAAUAAACAAUAUUGGCUUAUGGUGAAGGAGGAAGUGGGCAGCUCCACAACCAUCGAGACUGAUCUAUUGGUUAAUUAGGAGGUUUCCACAGCCACAGACUAUGCCUGCUGUGUGUAGGGCCAGGUAGGGAGGGGGCCACAGGGUAAUCAGGGCUGCUGGAAGGCCAGCUGGGGUCUGAGUGCAGCUCAAUGUCUCCCCUGAGCCAGGAGCCUUAAAUGGCUGAGGAAUAAUGCAAGAGGUUGGGGUCAGGCAAUGGACCUAGGACUUGAUGCCUGGGGCCUGCCCAUCAGGACCCGCUGUCCUGAAUAUCUAAACAGAAUUCUGCUAUAGCAGGGGCUGGGUGCCCUCUGCGGUUUCCAGGGCAGCCAGUUGAGUAUGGGGAGCUAUAGGUUUGGGGAAGAGAGCUGAUGCAGAAUCAGGAAGAACCAAGAAAAACACUGGAAACCAUGGGAUCUGAGAACAGAGGUCCCAGAGGUGGAGAAGUUGGUUCUUCUAAGUAGAAAAAGGUAAACAGCAGUAGGUUUGAAUCCAGACUCUCCCAAACACUAGUUGUGUGGCAAAUCGCGAAACCCCUCUGAUUCCUGAUGUCUACAUUUUUAAAGAGGAACAAAUUAUAUCUACCUUGCAAAACUGUAAUUAGAUUGAAGAAUGUAAUACCACAGUAGCUGUUCCCUUCGCCAGGGAAUCUUCCCAGCCAAGGAAACGAACCCAGGUCUCCCGCAUUGCAGGAUUCUUUACCAGCUGAGCCAUCAGGGAAGCCCCAUGGGAUACAUAUGAAGUGCUUAAUAAAUAUUUGCUAUAUUUAUUUUGUAUCUGUUAGUAUUAAGUUACCCUGACUUCCCUGAUGGCUCAGAUGGUAAAGAAAUUGCCUGCAAUGCAGGAGACCCAGCUUCCAUCCCUGGGUUGGGAAGAUCCCNNNNNNNNNNNNNNNNNNNNNNNNNNNNNNNNNNNNNNNNNNNNNNNNNNNNNNNNNNNNNNNNNNNNNNNNNNNNNNNNNNNNNNNNNNNNNNNNNNNGGUUGGGAAGAUCCCCUGGAGAAGGGAAGGGCGAUCCACUCCAGUAUUCUUGUCUGGGAAAUCCCAAAGGCAGAGAGGCCUGACGGACUACAGUCCUUGGGGUCGCAAAGAACGGACACGACUGAGCGACCAAGACUACCACUACGCUAUUAAGUUACUCAGGACAGCGCUUCGAAGGGAGAAGGAGCUUGGUAGAGGAAGCAGGGCUUCCAAGAUGCUAACAGAGUUGGCAGAAUGGGCAGAGGGAUUACCCUCCUUCCUGCCAGAUUUGCUAUGGACACAGUCUGGGGGAUUCCUGGCCUGGGGGCCUGCGCCUGGCUGCCUGGAAUCAUUUUCACCGUCUAGGGGUGUCCACUCCGUGGACUGAGUAUCCACUGCUCCUCAGAGGGCUCCUGGCUUUGGCCCCAUCCCCUAGUACUGUCCGGCCCUGGAGGAAGAGGAAGGAGAGACAGACGGACAGCCGGCAGAGCGGAGGCACACAAAGUUUAUUCUGGUCCUUUGACAGGUAGGGCCCUGCACGCCUCUCCACCACC
ensembl:lncRNA